CCUACGGGAGGCUGCAGUGAGGAAUAUUGGUCAAUGGCCGGAAGGCUGAACCAGCCAAGCCGCGUGAAGGACGAAGGUGCCAAGCAUUGUAAACUUCUUUUGUCAAGGGACAAAGUCAUGCUCGAGAGCCUUACCGAGUGUACUUGAAGAAAAAGCAUCGGCUAACUCCGUGCCAGCAGCCGCGGUAAUACGGAGGAUGCGAGCGUUAUCCGGAUUUAUUGGGUUUAAAGGGUGCGUAGGCGGGCUGUUAAGUCAGCGGUAAAAGCUUGGGGCUCAACCCCGGCGAGCCGUUGAAACUGGCUGUCGUGAGAAGUGGAGAGGUAGGCGGAAGGCGCAGUGUAGCGGUGAAAUGCUUAGAUAUUGCGCAGAACUCCGAUUGCGAAGGCAGCAUACCGGAGGCGAUCUGACGCUGAGGCACGAAAGCGUGGGUAUCGAACAGGAUUAGAUACCCUUGUAGUC
rnacentral:rRNA from 1 species